rnacentral:misc_RNA from 1 species
CGGAUCUCGAUCAGUGACAAUGGAUUUAGGAGGACCAUGAAGCUUGAGAAUGUGGGCUAUAAAAGCUUCAGCAACUGUCAAAGCUGUGAAAGUAGCAGGCAGCGGUACGAAGUGUCCAUAUUUGGAUAAUCUAUCAACUACAGCCAUGAUAGUCGUUUUACCGCGAGAUGGAGGCAAGCAAGUCACAAAAUCCAUUGUGAUCUCCUCGAAUACCUGCUCCGGAAUUGGAAGUGGUUGUAAUAAGCCAGCAGG